GGUUGUCGUCAGCUCGUGUCGUGAGAUGUUGGUUAAGUCCCGCAACGAGCGCAACCCCUAUUGUUAGUUGCCAUCAUUCAUUGGGCACUCUAGCGAGACUGCGGUAAUAACCGGAGGAAGUGGGAUGACGUCAAAUCAUCAUGCCCCUUAUGACCUGGGCUACACACGUGCUACAAUGGUUGGUACAACGAGUUGCGAGUCGGUGACGGCGAGCUAAUCUCUUAAAGCCAAUCUCAGUUCGGAUUGUAGGCUGCAACUCGCCUACAUGAAGUCGGAAUCGCUAGUAAUCGCGGAUCAGCACGCCGCGGUCGAAUACGUUCCCGGGCCUU
rnacentral:rRNA from 1 species